AUCAGCUUUUAAAAGGCGGCGUAAGCUGUCGCUAUGGGAUGGCCCCGCGGUGCAUUAGCUAGUUGGUAAGGUAAAGGCUUACCAAGGCGAUGAUGCAUAGCCGAGUUGAGAGACUGAUCGGCCACAUUGGGACUGAGACACGGCCCAAACUCCUACGGGAGGCAGCAGUAGGGAAUCUUCCACAAUGGACGCAAGUCUGAUGGAGCAACGCCGCGUGAGUGAAGAAGGUUUUCGGAUCGUAAAGCUCUGUUGUUGGUGAAGAAGGAUAGAGGUAGUAACUGGCCUUUAUUUGACGGUAAUCAACCAGAAAGUCACGGCUAACUACGUGCCAGCAGCCGCGGUAAUACGUAGGUGGCAAGCGUUGUCCGGAUUUAUUGGGCGUAAAGCGAGCGCAGGCGGAAGAAUAAGUCUGAUGUGAAAGCCCUCGGCUUAACCGAGGAACUGCAUCGGAAACUGUUUUUCUUGAGUGCAGAGGAGGAGAGUGGAACUCCAUGUGUAGCGGUGGAAUGCGUAGAUAUAUGGAAGAACACCAGUGGCGAAGGCGGCUCUCUGGUCUGCAACUGACGCUGAGGCUCGAAAGCAUGGGUAGCGAACAGGAUUAGAUACCCUGGUAGUCCAUGCCGUAAACGAUGAGUGCUAAGUGUUGGGAGGUUUCCGCCUCUCAGUGCUGCAGCUAACGCAUUAAGCACUCCGCC
rnacentral:rRNA from 1 species